GGAAGUGCAGGGUGGUAUAGGGUGAAUAUUGCACACUUGUUUUAUAUCGUGUUUCUGGUUCAGUCUUCUGUUCACAUGCUAAGCUGCGGAAAUACUCAUCACAAGUCAGUUUCUACGUUUAUCUGAGGAGCAUGUGGCUGACUCCGGUGACAUGGCUACUUUUGGGUGUAACUAAUGUCUUUGCAGUAGCCACUCAGACGCCACCUCUCACCAUACAAUGUCUCUCAAAUGGUAGUAUAAACAUAACACAGAAGAAGACUUACGAUGCCGAGAUAUUUGUGGUUGGAAACUUUCCCAGUUGUUCGGAUGCUAUGCGACACUUCAGACUUGACUCUGGGAACCAUUUGCUGAACACAUCAUGUAACGGCACGACUGGGUAUGUCCUAGAGGUACUGAAUUUCACCCAGACCACACACAGACCAGGCUUCACCUCGACAGUGUACAACGUCAACUGUACUUCUAACGUAACAGGCAACGCAAGUGUAUUUACACUGGUAAACACAACGGAGAGCCUCCUACAUGCUUGUCCCCACGCUGUGUGAACCCUAUCCUACUGCCAACUCGUCAGUCAGACUCUCACUACUGCACUGCGAUCAAAAAGGAUGCACAAAGGAGGAUGGCGUUAUCGGUCAGUUCACCACUGAAACGAUUAAUGACGUUGAUGUAGCGUGGGCUCCCAUGUACGGCUUCAUUUUCGCCGGCUAUCCGGACUCCGACCUCGUCAUAGACUGCACGGUGCUCGUGUGCCCAGACAUAUCACACGGCCACCCUGGGCGAUUCGUGACAAGCAAUGGUUGCAACAUGACGACAAGCAACAGUCGACGUCGGAAGCGUCGUGUCGGUAUGUCACGUGACAUCAUCCAUGCUAAAACAGGCACAGCACGAACCAGGGUUAAGCUGAAGAACAGCCUAGCAAAAAGCGAGGCAGUUACUACUUCGGCGAGCUUGCUCCUUCCAGUUGCUGCGAUGAGGACCAUGUUGUGAGAUGUGUUCCUGUUUCAUAAAUUAUAGGGGUUUC